AAGUCGUAACAAGGUUUCCGUAGGUGAACCUGCGGAAGGAUCAUUAUCGAUUUUGACAAAGAGCUGUAGCUGGCCUCUCAGGGGGCAAUGUGCACGCUCUAUGUUCAUCGUCUUCUUCACACCCCUGUGCACCCAUUUUGUAGGCUUUCCUUUCUGUCGUAUUCCUUUGGAGUUAAAAAGAGGGGAAGUCUAUGUGUUUUAUCACACCUGUAAUGAAAUUUUUUGGAAUGUGUUGGCAAUUAAAUGAAAAAUAUACAACUUUCAACAACGGAUCUCUUGGCUCUC
rnacentral:misc_RNA from 1 species